GAUGAACGCUGGCGGCGUGCCUAAUACAUGCAAGUCGAGCGAACGGACGAGAAGCUUGCUUCUCUGAUGUAGCGGCGGACGGGUGAGUAACACGUUGAUAACCUACCUAUAAGACUGGGAUAACUUUGGGAAACCGGAGCUAAUACCGGAAAAUAUUUUGAACCGCAUGGUUCAAAAGUGAAAGACGGUCUUGCUGUCACUUAUAGAUGGAUCCGCGCUGCAUUAGCUAGUUGGUAAGGUAACGGCUUACCAAGGCAACGAUGCAUAGCCGACCUGAGAGGGUGAUCGGCCACACUGGAACUGAGACACGGUCCAGACUCCUACGGGAGGCAGCAGUAGGGAAUCUUCCGCAAUGGGCGAAAGCCUGACGGAGCAACGCCGCGUGAGUGAUGAAGGUCUUCGGAUCGUAAAACUCUGUUAUUAGGGAAGAACAUAUGUGUAAGUAACUGUGCACAUCUUGACGGUACCUAAUCAGAAAGCCACGGCUAACUACGUG
rnacentral:rRNA from 1 species